GGAUGUGAGGGCGAUUCUGGCUGCGACAUCUGUCACCCACUUUGAUCGCCAGAGGUUGAUUCGGCUGAUCUGGCUGCAGGCGGGUGUCCCCUUCCCUCCCUCCACCGCUCCAUGUGCGUCCCUCCCGAAGCUGCGCGCUCGGUCGAAGAGGACGACCAUCCCCGAUAGAGGAGGACCAUUCUUCGGUCAAGGGUAUACGAGUAGCUGCGCUCCCCUGCUAAACUCCAACAAGCUCUCAAGAGUAAGUAAAGUGGUAGGGUGCUUGCCUAGUAAGGGCAAGGCCAUGGUUCAAUUCCCAGGACAACACACAAGUAAGUUGUCUUUUUUC
rnacentral:snRNA from 1 species